rnacentral:rRNA from 1 species
AGCGAACGCUGGCGGCAGGCCUAACACAUGCAAGUCGAACGAACUCUUCGGAGUUAGUGGCGGACGGGUGAGUAACACGUGGGAACGUGCCUUUAGGUUCGGAAUAACUCAGGGAAACUUGUGCUAAUACCGAAUGUGCCCUUCGGGGGAAAGAUUUAUCGCCUUUAGAGCGGCCCGCGUCUGAUUAGCUAGUUGGUGAGGUAAAGGCUCACCAAGGCGACGAUCAGUAGCUGGUCUGAGAGGAUGAUCAGCCACAUUGGGACUGAGACACGGCCCAAACUCCUACGGAAGGCAGCAGUGGGGAAUCUUGCGCAAUGGGCGAAAGCCUGACGCAGCCAUGCCGCGUGAAUGAUGAAGGUCUUAGGAUUGUAAAAUUCUUUCACCGGGGACGAUAAUGACGGUACCCGGAGAAGAAGCCCCGGCUAACUUCGUG